UCAAUCAUCUCCAUUUUACAGACCUGGGGAACCCAGGCGGCAGGCAGUGAGGGAACGUGCCUGUGGCCACGUACAACCCGCAGCCCCCUCCGCAGCGCUCUUUCUUCCCGGGUGCUGCCUCCCACCCCUGUUCAGCCUUCGCCCUCCUUGCCCUGUCUCCCAGCACUGCCUGCCUUUGCUCCCACUGCUGUUGCAGGCAGAGCGAGCCAGAAGCAAGCUGCUGCUGUGUGCUGGGGUGCAGCCCCUGUCCCCUACCUGCCUGACGUGACUCCGAGCCGUGCGGAGGGGGCAGCUCUCUUCUGGCCUGCCACCACCUAGUCAGAGACCAUCGAGUUCCACGUGGCCUCCCUUCACUCACGGGCUGGAGGGAUGUGACCGGGCUCGGGUAAUCCUCUUUUCAGGUGCAGGCUACCUGCCUUGCUGGUGAUUUAUUUUACCGUGGAUUUAUUUCACCAUGGUUCCCUCUGGGAUAAAAUACUCCUGCCUGAGUAACAGGAAUGGACACAGACAAGAGAACAGAAUUCACCUCCAGCCUGCUGCCAGGUGAACUCUGGCUUCCAUGAUCACCUCUCUGGGUUAACACGGUCACCCCAAACCAGACCGAGCUGAGACCAGCCCUGCUCCCACUUGCCUUGCCACAGCCCACAGGCAUGCCCAGAAAGCUCAGCUGAAGUUGCUCAAGCAUUACAUCUGCAGCACAGGUGGUCCAGCCAAGCAGGGAACGGGGCUGAAUUUGGCUGUGUUCAGCCAGCCGGGGCUGUGUCCCUUUGGGUACGAAGCACGUUGCCCAGGCAGCCUGGAGACGGAGCCCAGUUUUGGCAGAAGAAGCACAGGGGGGCCCUGCCCGGCUGGUGGGGUGACAGACGUGUAAAGCUACACAGGAGCCGUAUUGCUACAGCAGCAACGAACAACCUGGAAAACAAACUUCUCUGACGGAUGUGGAUAAAAUAGAACGGGCAGCAACUGUUCUCCUGCCAAAGGUGCCACCAGAAGGUCAUGGAGCAGCAAGAUGGUGGCAAAAGGAACAAAAACCACACAGCCCUUCAGAGCAGGAGGCAAAGCAGUGUCCUCUGCUGGCUCCUGCAGCUGAGGAAAAUUCCUAUUUACGCAGACAGUUGGUUCUGAGUUUUUUUUUUUCCCCCAGCUUUAGCUGUAAUUGGACUCGCAAGCAACAGGAUGCUCAUCUCCAGCAGGGACACGGGCACGAGCUUCAGCGCUACGCUGCUAAGUCCAGGGGCGUCUCCUGGCCUUUCAGAGCGGCUGUAACUGGAGCACGGAGCCGGGGACAGGAGAUCGCCCAGAUGCUAUUCCACCUCUCGCCUCUCGGUCUUCCACUGCCCAUUUCCACAGGAGCCAAACCAGGUACAGAGACCUGCUCUCCACUGCGGAACAUCACGUACACCAAGCGCAAGGAGAAAUGGAAGCGUUCUCCAAGCUGCGGGGUCAGGGCUAUCUAUAAACGAGCACGCACAAGAAAAGGAGGCAGCCCUUAGCAGCAGGAGCUGUAAAGAUCAUUGAUGGCAAUAGGUCUCCAGGUUCUCCUCACCAUCCUUCUUUAUAGCACAGCAACGCUGAGACAUCCUCCGGGUGUCCUUGUGUACAGUGAAAAACUCUUCGGUGAAGAGGUUAUAGGGAACACCUCUGGGACCCUGGGCAAGUUCUGUCUCUUCCUCUCCGAGGUGAGGCUUACUGCAGGCUUUGUGUGUGGUGUUUGUGAUUUGAGAGCCCUCGGUGGAGGACGCUCUGUGAGCAUGAUGCUACUGAAAGCCCCCUCUGCGAAGGUGACAUGGGAGUCUGACAGGCCUCAAAGGGGAAAAAAAACACUUGUGUAAAUCAUAUGUCGGACACAGGCAGAGCUCGGGGCUGUCGUUCUAUGUACUUCUCUCCACAAUCAGCUUCUCUCUGCAGAGUUAAUAACAUCCUUAAACCAAGCAAGAUCACUUAAAAAAAAAUAAAAUAGACCCAAGCAAUUCCGAUCUGGGAAGC
ensembl:lncRNA